AUUGAACGCUGGCGGCAUGCUUUACACAUGCAAGUCGAACGGCAGCGCGGGCUUCGGCCUGGCGGCGAGUGGCGAACGGGUGAGUAAUACAUCGGAACGUGCCCAGUAGUGGGGGAUAGCUCGGCGAAAGCCAGAUUAAUACCGCAUACGACCUGAGGGUGAAAGCGGGGGAUCUUCGGACCUCGCGCUAUUGGAGCGGCCGAUGGCAGAUUAGCUAGUUGGUGGGGUAAAGGCCUACCAAGGCGACGAUCUGUAGCUGGUCUGAGAGGACGACCAGCCACACUGGGACUGAGACACGGCCCAGACUCCGACGGGAGGCAGCAGUGGGGAAUUUUGGACAAUGGGCGAAAGCCUGAUCCAGCAAUGCCGCGUGUGUGAUGAAGGCCUUCGGGUUGUAAAGCACUUUUGGCGGGAACGAAAAGGACUGUGCCAAUACCACGGUUCGAUGACGGUACCCGCAGAAUAAGCACCGGCUAACUACGU
rnacentral:rRNA from 1 species